rnacentral:rRNA from 1 species
GAUGAACGCUGGCGGCGUGCCUAAUACAUGCGAGUCGAGCGAACGGACGAGAAGCUUGCUUCUCUGAUGUUAGCGGCGGACGGGUGAGUAACACGUGGAUAACCUACCUAUAAGACUGGGAUAACUUCGGGAAACCGGAGCUAAUACCGGAUAAUAUUUUGAACCGCAUGGUUCAAAAGUGAAAGACGGUCUUGCUGUCACUUAUAGAUGGGUCCGCGCUGCAUUAGCUAGUUGGUAAGGUAACGGCUUACCAAGGCAACGAUGCAUAGCCGACCUGAGAGGGUGAUCGGCCACACUGGAACUGAGACACGGUCCAGACUCCUACGGGAGGCAGCAGUAGGGAAUCUUCCGCAAUGGGCGAAAGCCUGACGGAGCAACGCCGCGUGAGUGAUGAAGGUCUUCGGAUCGUAAAACUCUGUUAUUAGGGAAGAACAUAUGUGUAAGUAACUGUGCACAUCUUGACGGUACCUAAUCAGAAAGCCACGGCUAACUACGUG